GUUUUUUUACCUCAACGUAGAAGGAACAGAUGGAAGAGAGUAGGCAGGGUGGAGCCUGGCAGCAGUUCUGAAAGAACCUGUUUGCAGCUCACAGUCAAGUUCUCCAAGACCACGAUGGCUGGCUCUCAGGUUCCAGAAGCUUCUAGAACAACCACAGUGGAAGAUGCUGAUUCGUACUUAAGCAGGUGUUGAUGCUGGAUAGUGGGACACCUGGGAAGGAUGCCUUGGACAAGUGGAACUGCAGAUCUCUCUGCUGCAUAAGCUUCGCAAUGUGCACAGCAUCUUCUUAAGAGCAACAAACAAUGCCAUCACCACCAAUGAAGCAGCCUGUAAGGAAAACAUUAAACAGUUAACCACAAAUAAGAUGUGUGCGUAUUCAACUAAU